rnacentral:rRNA from 1 species
GUGUCAGCAGCCGCGGUAAGACAGAGGGUGCAAACGUUGCUCGGAAUCACUGGGCGUAAAGGGCGUGUAGGCGGGAAGGAAAGUCGGGCGUGAAAUCCCUGGGCUCAACCCAGGAACUGCACUCGAAACUUCUUUUCUUGAGUGCCGGAGAGGAAAGCGGAAUACCUGGUGUAGAGGUGAAAUUCGUAGAUAUCAGGUGGAACACCAGUGGCGAAGGCGGCUUUCUGGACGGUAACUGACGCUGAGACGCGAAAGCGUGGGGAGCAAACAGGAUUAGAAACCCUGGUAGUCC